rnacentral:rRNA from 1 species
UGGUUGUAGCUGGCUCUCCGGAGCAUGUGCACACCUUGUCACCUUUAUCUUUCCACCUGUGCACACACUGUAGUCCUGGAUCCCUCUCGCUGCAAGGCGGAUGCGGAGCCUGCUGUCUGCCCUUUUGGGCUCGGCUUGCUCUGAAUUUCCAGGUCUACGAUUUUUCAUACACCCCAAACGAAUGUUAUAGAAUGUCAUAUCAUUGGGCCUUGUGCCUAUAAAACUUAUACAACUUUCAACAACGGAUCUCUUGGCUCUCGCAUCGAUGAAGAACGCAGCGAAAUGCGAUAAGUAAUGUGAAUUGCAGAAUUCAGUGAAUCAUCGAAUCUUUGAACGCACCUUGCGCUCCUUGGUAUUCCGAGGAGCAUGCCUGUUUGAGUGUCAUUAAAUUCUCACCUCACCCAUUUUGUCAUGAAAUGGUCUGUGUAGGCUUGGAUGUGGAGGUUUUGCAGGUCCACUCUUUUGUGGUCUGCUCCUCUGAAAUGCAUUAGUGGGUUCCGCCCCUAAAUCUAUUGGUGUGAUAAUUAUCUACGCCGUUGAUCUAGGUUUGGCAAUACAAAGAAACUGGUGACAACCGUCCGUCUCGGACAACUUGACAUUUUUGACCUC